rnacentral:rRNA from 1 species
AUUGAACGCUGGCGGCAUGCCUAACACAUGCAAGUCGAACGAGUGGCGGACGGGUGAGUACUGUCUGGGAAACUGCCUGAUGGAGGGUGAUAACUACUGGAAACUGUCACCAAUACCGCCUACCAUCAGCUGUUCCCAGAUGGGAUUAGCUUGGGGGUGGGGUAACGGCUUACCAAGGCGACGAUCCCUAGUUGGUCUGAGAGGAUGACCAGCCACACGGGAACUGAGACACGGUCCAGACUCCUACGGGAGGCAGCAGUGGGGAAUAUUGGACAAUGGGCGAAAGCCUGAUGCAGCCAUGCCGCGUGUAUGAAGAAGGCCGUCGGGUUGUAAAGUACUUUAAGCGGGGAGGCGUUACCCGCAGAAGAAGCACCGGCUAACUACGUGCCAGCAGCCGCGGUAAUUC